CCCGCCCAGGAAAGGCCGACUUAGAAAAAUGCGGGAGCGGUGGCCGAGGAGUCCUACCCUGAGGAUUCAUGAAAAGGAAAGAUGAGGUUUGUGUGAAUAUAUGCAUGCAUCUGUGCUUUCCGAGAAGAGACAGGAAGUGAUUCAGGCUAUACAGAUACAGGACCUAAGGAGAGAGAGGGACCCAAUGACCUGGUGACUACUGGACACAGAUUAGUCAGGCUUUUGCCCCUGAGGUUGAUCCAUUCCUCUCCUCCCUGGACAAGAAUCACAGAUGGAGAAAAAUGCCCUUUGCAGGCAGAAGGCUUUGGGACAAGACUGGACAUGCAACAGUAGAAGUUGGCCUCUGAAAUUACCAAUUUCAAUUCAUUUGGAUGAGCUCUUCUCAAGAGAAGCAUGGGAAAGAGAAGCAAGAGGGAAGAAAAAAAGAAAAGAAUAAGAGACAGAAAGUGAGGAGGAUACAAUUAGUGGAUGCCGAAUUAAUUGUGGGACAGAAAGGGGCGGAACAUCUGAGGGAAGUUAAAAAAGAAAAAAAGAAAACAGCUGGAAAGGAUGGAAGAGAAAAUGCAUUUCUUCUUCACUAAAUACACAGCAGCUGAUAACAGUUCCCUCCGUGUGUAUGGCAAGAGAGAGCACCUCCAGUACCUGCCCUCAGUCCACCUUUGCCAUCACAUCACCCUGUGUGGGAGGCAGGGUGGUGCUCACUCCCCAGGAGCUUCUUAUCCCUUCAUUCCUAUGACAAGUAUUCUUAUUAAGAAUCUACUUGGAGUGCAUCUGGGUGGCUUGGUUGGUUGAGCAUCCAAAUCUUGAU